rnacentral:rRNA from 1 species
GACGAACGCUGGCGGCGUGCCUAAUACAUGCAAGUAGAAUGCACAGUUUAUACCGUAGCUUGCUACACCAUAGACUGUGAGUUGCGAACGGGUGAGUAACGCGUAGGUAACCUGCCUGGUAGCGGGGGAUAACUAUUGGAAACGAUAGCUAAUACCGCAUAAUAUUAAUUAUUGCAUGAUAAUUGAUUGAAAGAUGCAACUGCAUCACUACCAGAUGGACCUGCGUUGUAUUAGUUAGUAGGUGAGGUAACGGCUCACCUAGGCGACGAUACAUAGCCGACCUGAGAGGGUGAUCGGCCACACUGGGACUGAGACACGGCCCAGACUCCUACGGGAGGCAGCAGUAGGGAAUCUUCGGCAAUGGACGAAAGUCUGACCGAGCAACGCCGCGUGAGUGAAGAAGGUUUUCGGAUCGUAAAGCUCUGUUGUAAGAGAAGAACGGGUGUGAGAGUGGAAAGUUCACACUGUGACGGUAUCUUACCAGAAAGGGACGGCUAACUACGUG